rnacentral:rRNA from 1 species
UCUGCUCAAUGAUUUUUUAAAUUGCUGUGGUAUUUUGACUAUACGAAGGUAUUGAAAUAAGGCUUUAAAUGGGUGCUAAGAGAAUGGUUUAACGAUUAAUAACUUUCUUUAAUUAAUAAAUUGAAUUUAAUUUUUUUGUGAAGAAGCAAAAAUUUAAAUUAGGGACAAGAAGACCCUAUGAAUUUUUAUUAGAUUGUGAUGAGAAUUAUUUGAAAUCUAAUUUGGUUGGGGUGAUUAAAAAAGAAUAUAUAUCUUUUUGUAUUAAAGAAAUUAAUUUGUUCCGUUAUUAACGAUUAAAUGAGAAAAAUACUCUAGGGAUAACAGCGUAAA